CUCACGCCUCAGGUGUGGUUGCACACACCUUGCCAGUGACCAUUGGAGAUGAGACCUGUGGAGACACAAGCAUAACCUCUUCCCCAGGUUAUUAAAGAUAUUAUAUGGUCCUUCCCAGUUAUCCCUUUCUAGGUUUUUGUUAACGCUUGAGCCUUGCUCUGGACUUCUUGUUGAUCUGGUAUCUGUGAUGAAAGACGACACAAUACUGGUGGCACCCCAAAAAUCCCUUGUUCC